AUCCAGAGGACAAGUCCCGAAUAGGACGAAACGCGUGUCCUGGAU
rfam:Trichobilharzia regenti genome assembly, scaffold: TRE_scaffold0021285